CAGUCGCCGCGGUAAUACAGAGGGUGCGAGCGUUAAUCGGAUUUACUGGGCGUAAAGCGUGCGCAGGCGGUUUUGUAAGACAGAGGUGAAAUCCCCGGGCUCAACCUGGGAACUGCCUUUGUGACUGCAAGGCUAGAGUACGGCAGAGGGGGAUGGAAUUCCGCGUGUAGCAGUGAAAUGCGUAGAUAUGCGGAGGAACACCGAUGGCGAAGGCAAUCCCCUGGGCCUGUACUGACGCUCAUGCACGAAAGCGUGGGGAGCAAACAGGAUUAGAUACCCCUGUAGUCCCUGUCUCUUAUAC
rnacentral:rRNA from 1 species